CACGACCUCCGGUAUAGCAGUCAGGGUCACUAACCACUAGACCAACAGGCCCGUUAGAGGAGUAUAACUCUAAUCCCUAUAUCCUAUUCCCUCUUAAUUGUAGCACAUGACUAUUUCUGAUUCAAUUUCACAAAGCACAUUACUUGUUGCAGCGCACGAAUUUCACCUACAAAUAAAACUUAUUCUCGUCUUCUGCGAAACCUUUAAAUAAAUCACAAAUGCAAUUUUUCGAAGUGACUUCCCCGUCACAGUUUUAACAACGAGAAUAGUUCAGUUUCUGCUGUCUAGACUGGAUCUAAACCGAGUGGCGUCUAUUUCAGUUUGGGCUAGAAUAUGUUAUCAAUCUUUUGUCUGAAAUGAAAUUUAGGGCAGCUGUUACUGAUACGCUGCGCAAGGAAAUAGGUUGGAUAUCUCUCUAGUCUAGCCAUUUUGGUUAAGACUGUUUUCGUAUCUGAGAUAUUACAGACUACUUCGUCGUUGGAUAGACUUUUUGACAGACAGCGUUGGAAUAAGACAUAAUUUCUAGCUUCCAAAAUUGUAUAUUGUGAUGUUCGCAGAGCUUUGCUUACUUUUUCUCGAAGAAAUCUGCGUCCACUACAAUGGAAAUGAGUUACAAAAUAUUUCAUAUGAGGGCUACUUAUCAGAAUUGUAAUGACUAUAAAAACUCCAAUAUAAAUUAUAUUACGAGUAGUUAUAAUUAAAUUAUGUAUCGGUCUAUCGCUUUUUCUAUUACUCAGAUCGUAAAAUGACCGUUUCUUUUCUAUUUAACUGAUAAAUUAUAAUAAUAAAAGUAACGCGUAAAUCAAUUAGAUUCACGAACUUAAUAAAAACUACAUUUCAUAAAUAUUGUAUUUUUUUAAGAAAAUCUAACUUUGAUUGCACGGAUAACCGAGUUGUUUUGAGGUCACCACGCCAAACCCACUGAGUGCAUCGUAGCGUGGGUUUUGAUCCCCGCGUACAAAAAGGGUUUGUGUGACCCACGAAUGCUUGUCCUGAGUCUGGAUGUGCUUGUACAUGUGACUUAAAAGUUUUUAAAACCCCGCGAUACAACGGUUAAAUUCGUUAGUACAGAAGACGUUUUUAAAGAAAAAAUUAAAGUUAUCACUACCUAAGUACUUGCAAAGUACCUGCAAGCACUUAAUUUUUAAUUGCAAUCAAUUUUAAUCUCUCCUAUGUAUUGUAAAAGUUAACGACAAAACAGCACUUUCAAUUUAACAGUAAUUUCCUACAAUCUCACAUUUAUCAAGAAACUAAAUUCAUGUACAAUUUCUGCGAAUGCGAAAAUUUGUCAUCGUUUAUAAAGAAAACCAAGAAAUAUAUUAUCUGACUCGUGACUACAUUGUAGUUGGCAUCCUAUGGCAUAUAUUCAAUCUUGCACUAGUAUAAUUAAUACUUAUGUGUCACCGGGUUUCACAAACAUUCAAAUCACACGUAAAGAAAACGCCAAGGUUUGAACAAACAUUUGUAGAUGGCACAAAUGUUUGUCACGCGUUUAAAAUACCUGCAUCGCAUCGUAUAGUUGUAUUAAUUUAUUUAUUUAAUCCUUUCCUUUUUUAAACUAUAAGGUAACCGGUUAAAUAUGUGAGUGGUUGAUAUCAAUCACAGCCAUGAUUAGUAUUUUUGACAGCAGACUAAAAUCAGCCCCUCAGAAGCAGGUCAGUGAUCUAUAACGCUCUAGCCAACAUCAAUAAAUAUUUAUAUAAUCUUAAUACAUGCAUUCAAUGAUGGAUAUUACACAGUUUUGUGAAUGGGAGCGCUAUGCGUCCGGCAAGGUCGACUGCUCGAGCAAAAAUAAACACUCUCAUUGAUGAAUUAAAUUUUUAAAAAUUCGAUUGCUUACGCGCAUUCUUUACAUUUCUUUUUUGAUUCAUUGCGUUCGCAUUUUAAAUAGUAUUCGUGCAUUACAUCAGUUUGUAAACAUAGUUAUUUUAGAUGUGAUUGAGUAUGUUUUAUUUUGUGUUCUCGUUUAUUUGUUUAGUCUACUAUUACUAUGUAAAUUGAUAUUUGAAUAAUGGUUUGUUGUGAUUGUUUUCCUUCCUAGUCGUAGUAAAAUUCAUGAUCUAUUUCUUUAUUUAAUAUAACAGUUAUAGUCUUGUAAAUUAAAUGUGGUUACAAAUUUUUGGUACAGUAAUUUUAGUUUAGGUAUUUCAUUGACGAUAAAGUUAACAGUUUACUGAUACGUUGUUUAAAUUGUUAGCCGUAGGUCUGCUUACCUAUCGAGACCUAGUGUAAACACAAUCAGUUCCUGUCGAAACAAGGUGUGUUGUGUUGCGAUAGCGCUCAAAUAUUCUAUUUACGGUGCAUACCUGACUAUUACUAAGGAAAACUUAUAUUUAUUCUUGACUAUAGCUUUAAAAUACAUAGGGGACUCGACAUACAUAAACAAGCUACAUGGUGAUACAAUGGGCGGUCUUAUCUUUAAAAGCGACCUUUUACAGACAAACUUUGGAUCGUCUUCAUAAUAAAGGAGCAACAUUUUUGUAGGUAGUCCGCGGUGCAUAACAAAAUAGCUUUGGAUUGAAUCAUUGCGCUUGAUUAUUCAAGCGUAAUUCGCGUUUAUUUAAACUUGUCAUUAGGAAUGUAGUAUUUAUCCAUUGUAGAAAUGACAAAUGCAUUUGCAUAGUUCAAAUUCUAAGUCGAUAGGAGCGACAAAUUCUCAAUGCUAAUUUUCAUGGGAGUUUUAUUAGCCGUGAAAACAACGAGCGGAGUCAUGCUACAAGCUCGUGGCUCGACCUGGUCGAAAAUAAGCCAAUAGAAAAUGCACGUGAUCUCUAUAAUUCUCUAUUUUAAUACCUGUUAUAAACGCUAAGAAAAAUUUGGCAAUGAAAUAGUUGUUGUCAUACUGUAAAGCAUAAUCCAAAUUCAAAAAUACUUAAUUCGAAUUAGGCUACUAAACAGGACUUCGAACGUCAAAUUCGACUUCACUAUUUAAAAAGCUUGGAGAAGAAUGGCCCUAACAACCUCCGUAAUCUAUUUCUCUGCUACAAUUUUAGUAAAAUCUUUUCAGUACCUAGUUUUUGCAUAAAAUAGUAAUAAACAUCCAUACAUCCUUUCAAACUUUUGCGCUCAAAAUAUUCGUUCGAUACCAUAAGCCCAGUGUGGAAGGAGAAACCAGACGUUAAAACAAUUGAAUCUAACGAAGUACCUUUGUCUGUUUCGACGUUUAUUUAUUUGCGUUUAUUCGCAAAUCUGCACCAUGUUUAUCUUGUUUCUAUACAGUUUGGUUUAGGAAUUCCAUCGCUAUUCGUGCAUGUGUAGAAUGUACGGUGCCAGCAUGAAUUGCGUUUUCUAUUAAACUUUCGCGAUGUGGAAAACCCUUAAUGACGAUAAAAAUAAUUUAUAGAUCAUGAAAAGUAUUCGUUACAAUUACACUGACGGAGCCAUGUUAGUGAAUAGGCUAGCUAGACAGUGUACGACCAUGUUCGAUUUUAGUGUUUCUAAGACCAUGCUAUACAAUGUUUAUUUUUCCUAGUAAGGGAGUCGUUGCUUUUGAAAUGAAAAAUUAAUACAUUAACACAUGCUCAUUUUCUAGUAAAAAAUUCAAAAGCUAUGAAGUUAAUGAACGCAAUAUCAAAGGUGAACGAUUUUUACGACAUUCCCUAAUGAAAAAUAUAUCGAUUUUCUAAUUAGAGCGCGUCGAUGAAAUGUGUUCUACCCAGUGACCACAAUACGAUUUAUAAUGUAUUCAUUUGAUAUGGAAUGUUUACUAGUUUAUAGAAUUUUUACAAGUAAUUGUAUUGGUUACUUUCUAUCAGUGAAUAAUAACUAGGAGAUCUUCAAGCUUGAG